rnacentral:lncRNA from 1 species
CCAGUCUCAAUCUGCUUUGCCACUCUGCAGUUAGCCAUGGCCUGUGCUGAACACACUUUGAUUUAAAAAGAAAUACUUUCCAGGCAUCAUGAAGAAGUCUCUGAAAGCUUACCAUUCAGAGGCUGGAUGACUAUGGCACUGUCUGAUUAGCCUUGAAGAAAAACAGCUCGACUGUAGCAUUGUGACAUCAUCC